GGAUAAGGAAAGUAAAAAAGGGCGCAUGGCGGAUGCCUUGGCUCUCGGAGGCGAUGAAGGACGUGAUAAGCUGCGAUAAGCUUUGGGGAGGUGCAAAUGACCUUUGAUCCAGAGAUUUCCGAAUGGGACAACCCAAUAUCUUGAAGAGGUAUUAUCUUACUAUGUAAGAGGCUAACGCAGGGAACUGAAACAUCUUAGUACCUGCAGGAAAAGAAAAUAAACAAUGAUUCCCCCAGUAGUGGCGAGCGAACGGGGAACAGCCCAAACCAUCCAUGUUACGGCAUGGGUGGGGUUGUAGGACUACGCCGUUGCAUGAAGACAUCAGAGAAGAACUUUCUGGAAAGAAAGACCAUAGAGCAUGACAGUUGCGUAUUCGAAUGUUGUCGAAGCAUAGUAGUAUCCUGAGUAGCGCGGAGCACGAGGAAUUCUGCGUGAAUCUGCCGGGACCAUCCGGUAAGGCUAAAUACUCCCGAGAGACCGAUAGCGAACCAGUACCGUGAGGGAAAGGUGAAAAGCACUUCGAACAGAAGAGUGAAAUAGUUCCUGAAACCGUGCGCCUACACGCGGUCGGAGCUCGUUAAUGAGUGACGGCGUGCCUUUUGCAUAAUGAACCUACGAGUUGCCUUUGCCGGCAAGGUUAAGUGUGACGACACACGUAUCCGAAGCGAAAGCGAGUCUGAACAGGGCGUAUAGUCGGCAGUGGCAGACGCGAAACCAAGUGAUCUACCCUUGGCCAGGUUGAAGGCUGGGUAACACCAGCUGGAGGACCGCACCAAUAAGCGUUGAAAAGCUUCUGGAUGAGCUGAGGGUAGGGGUGAAAGGCUAAUCAAACUUGGAGAUAGCUCGUACUCCCCGAAAUGCAUUUAGGUGCAGCCUUGCGGGUUACUGAUGUGAGGUAGAGCGACUGAUAAGAUGCGAGGGCUUCACCGCCUAUCAAGUCUUGACAAACUCCGAAUGCGCAUCAGUUCUACCGCAGGAGUGAGGGCAUGGGUGCUAAGGUCCGUGCCCGAGAGGAGAAGAAUCCGGACCACCUGCUAAGGUCCCGAAAUGACAGCUAAGUUAAACUAACGAAGUCUGACUGCUAAGACAGCUAGGAUGUUGGCUUGGAAGCAGCCAUUCAUUUAAAGAGUGCGUAACAGCUCACUAGUCGAGGAGUCGGGCGUGGAUAAUAAUCGGGUAUCAAGUUGUCUACCGAAGCAGUGGGAUCAUUAAUAUGAUCGGUAGGGGAGCAUUCCAGUCAGCGUCGAAGGCGUACCGUGAGGUAUUCUGGAGCGUCUGGAAAAGCAAAUGUAGGUAUAAGUAACGAUAAAGGGGGCGGGAAACCCCCUCGCCGAAAGACUAAGGUUUCCUGAUCAACGCUAAUCGGAUCAGGGUCAGUCGGGUCCUAAGGCUCAGCCGAACGGCGAUGCCGAUGGCAGAAACGGUUAAUAUUCCGUUACUACCUUCAGGAGUGACGUGGAGACGCAGUAGUGACAGUGCCGCCAUCUGACGGAAUAGAUGGUUGAAGGGUGUAGGAGUCGAUCAUGGCAGGCAAAUCCACCAUGAGAUCCGAACCUGACAGUAUGCCGCGUCCUUCGGGACAAGGCAAUAGUGCGCGUAAGCAUGCUGCCGAGAAAAUCCGCUAAACUUAAUCCUGCAGGUACCCGUACCGCAAACGGACACACGUAGUCGGGAUGAAUAUUCUAAGGCGCUUGAGUGAUUCACGGUUAAGGAACUAGGCAAACUGACCCUGUAACUUCGGGAUAAAGGGUCCCUACCCUUUUAUGGGAGGGCGCAGAGAAUCGGUCCAGGCAACUGUUUAACAAAAACACAGGGCUGUGCCAAAUCGAAAGAUCCAGUAUACAGCCUGACACCUGCCCGGUGCUGGAAGGUUAAGAGGAGAUGUCAUCGAUAAGAGAAGCGUUGAAUUGAAGCCCCAGUAAACGGCGGCCGUAACUAUAACGGUCCUAAGGUAGCGAAAUUCCUUGUCGGGUAAGUUCCGACCUGCACGAAUGGUGUAAUGAUCUGGACGCUGUCUCAACCGUGAGCUCAGUGAAAUUGUAGUAUCGGUGAAGAUGCCGAUUACCCGCGAUGGGACGAAAAGACCCCGUGAACCUUUACUAUAGCUUAUCAUUGAAUCUGGGCACGUGAUGUGUAGGAUAGGUCGGAGGCUUUGAAGCAGGUACGCCAGUAUUAGUGGAGCCGCUGUUGAAAUACGACCCUUUAUUUGUUUGGAUUCUAACCCGUGGAACGGGGACAUUGAUUGGUGGGUAGUUUGACUGGGGUGGUCGCCUCCAAAAGCGUAACGGAGGCUUCUAAAGGUGCCCUCCGGCCGAUUGGUAACCGGCCUUAGAGUGUAAUGGCAUAAGGGCGCUUGACUGGGAGACUAACAAGUCGAUCAGGUAGGAAACUAGAGCAUAGUGAUCCGGUGUUUCCGUAUGGAAGGGACAUCGCUCAAAGGAUAAAAGGUACUCCGGGGAUAACAGGCUGAUCCCUCCCAAGAGCUCAUAUCGACGGAGUGGUUUGGCACCUCGAUGUCGGCUCGUCACAUCCUGGGGCUGGAGAAGGUCCCAAGGGUUGGGCUGUUCGCCCAUUA
rnacentral:rRNA from 1 species